GACGAACGCUGGCGGCGUGCUUAACACAUGCAAGUCGAACGGAAAGGCCUGCUUUCCCUUGUGGAUUGCGGGUACUCGAGUGGCGAACGGGUGAGUAACACGUGAGUGAUCUGCCCCCAACUUGGGUAUAAGCCUGGGAAACUGGGUCUAAUUCCCGAUAGGACUGCAGGGUGGUGCCUGUGGUGGAAAACGAUUUUCUAGUGGUUGGGGAUGAGCUCGCGGCCUAUCAGCUUGUUGGUGGGGUAAUGGCCUACCAAGGCGGCGACGGGUAGCCGGCCUGAGAGGGUGGACGGCCACAUUGGGACUGAGAUACGGCCCAGACUCCUACGGGAGGCAGCAGUGGGGAAUAUUGCAAAAUGGGCGGAAGCCUGAUGCAGCGACGCCGCGUGGGGGAUGACGGCCUUCGGGUUGUAAACUCCUUUCGACCGCGAGGAAGCCACCUGGUUGGAAGGGUGGUGACGGUAGUGGUAGAAGAAGCACCGGCUAACUACGUG
rnacentral:rRNA from 1 species